rnacentral:rRNA from 1 species
GAUGAACGCUGGCGGCGUGCCUAAUACAUGCAAGUCGAGCGAACAGACGAGGAGCUUGCUCCUCUGACGUUAGCGGCGGACGGGUGAGUAACACGUGGAUAACCUACCUAUAAGACUGGAUAACUUCGGGAAACCGGAGCUAAUACCGGAUAAUAUAUUUAACCGCAUGGUUCAAUAGUGAAAGACGGUUUUGCUGUCACUUAUAGAUGGAUCCGCGCCGCAUUAGCUAGUUGGUAAGGUAACGGCUUACCAAGGCGACGAUGCGUAGCCGACCUGAGAGGGUGAUCGGCCACACUGGAACUGAGACACGGUCCAGACUCCUACGGGAGGCAGCAGUAGGGAAUCUUCCGCAAUGGGCGAAAGCCUGACGGAGCAACGCCGCGUGAGUGAUGAAGGUCUUCGGAUCGUAAAACUCUGUUAUUAGGGAAGAACAAAUGUGUAAGUAACUAUGCACGUCUUGACGGUACCUAAUCAGAAAGCCACGGCUAACUACGUG